CUGGACUGAGGCUGGCGAACAGGAAGCAGAAAGGGCUCUACCCGUGCUGUGGGCAAGAGCAUCUCAUGCAGAAGAAAACUCAAGCCCCACAGGGCGUGGAUUUAGGAGCUGGAGGAACAGAUGGACAAGUGUACUGAAGAAUGAAAAUACAUUUGGAUGGAUUCCAACAGAAAAAAAAGCUCCUCCAUGAAAUGAGGAUUCCGCCAGCUCCUCUAAGACUUUUGUGCAUAUACUCAAUGGGAUUUUGUGCCAUAUACUUGGCAUGAAAAAUUGAGGUGAACGAUAGGAAAAAGAAAAAGGAUUCUUCAAAUUUUUCUUUUUUUUUCUGGGAAAAAGGGAUGUAAUUGUGUGUUUUUAAAGUUCUAAUCAUUCUGGCUAAAUGAUAACAUGUUUAAAGGACUAUAUUUGGAGCAACAUAGAUGUCUCCUUAUUUUUGGUCAAGGUUUAAAGAAGAAAGGCCUUCAAAAGAACUGCCUCCUAAAAUUGUGAAGAAUUCCCCAUUCCUCCAAACUGGUCUACCAGUGAAGAAUCCAUCUAUGUGUUGAUGUCAUUCAAAAGGAAAGGAUUGUCCUGGAUGUCAUGGAUAGGGGUGACACUCAGUUGCCUCCACAUUUGUUUCCAACCACUUCCUCCUUUACUUACAGAACCUGCUUUCCACCAAGAAGAGUGAAAACACUUGAAAUUUACAUUCCAGCCUCCCUUUACUCUAAUGCAUGGGCAUGUGACCCAAUUCUGGCCAAUGAUUUUGAAGAGGAAGUAUUCUGGAGGUAGAAAUCCCUGGGAAAGAUUUCCCCCCUGUUAAAAAGAUGUGUACAAUACAAAACUUCCUUCUUUCCUCUGAAUGCAAUUGUGUGAUUGUGUGAAGACACAGUAUAUGGAGAUGCACCAGCUGUUUUACAGCCAUAGGAACAAACACAAAGGUGAAAGCCAAAACACCCAGGAUGUCCCAGCAGAAAAGUGAUGGGAACACCUGAAUCCUUGAUGACUUCAUCUUAGCUCCAGACCUCUUGUCAAACUAGGAAUUGAUUGCUGUACUCACCUAUGACCACCCAGCUCAUCUGUGACCACCCAGCUUGAGACAACAGACCUGCUUCCUGCUGUGCCCACCAAGACAGCAAACCUACUACCUGCUGUGUCCAUCAAUCACUGUGCCAACAGGACAAUCUUGUGACUAUUGUAGAAGGGACAUUUCAAUCGUGUGUGAUACAUGCUCUUUGAUGGUAUAUAACCACUCUGUAUACCCCCACUUCUUUGGAGUGUUCUGUUCCUUUGUGGAAGGACUCUCCCAGGCUAUAUGGUCCUCACCUUUGGCUCAUAAUAA
rnacentral:lncRNA from 1 species